AAUAGAAUGGCCGAUAAAGGUGGGGAACUGUAAAUUCUCUUAUAAACGUAAGUUUUUCUAUUA
rnacentral:tRNA from 1 species